rnacentral:rRNA from 1 species
AUGUCUGGAAGCACGGGAGAACGCUCUUCUGCUUAUAUUAUUACCAGUAUUCGAUACUGGGUUAUUCGUAGCAUUACUAUACCUUCCUUAUUCAUUGCGGGUUUGUUAUUCGUCAGCCCGGCUUUCACUUGGAAAAGUAGGACCACCCAGCUGCUCCCUCCAGCCUGGCGCCCAUCGGCCAGAUUCAGCUACACUUCCUGCUCGGCUUUGACGAAAGCACUGGCUGCUGGUAGUGGAUCAAUGUGA